AUACUUACCUGGCAGGGGAGAUACCAUGAUCACGAAGGUGGUUUUCCCAGGGCGAGGCUUAUCCAUUGCACUCCGGAUGUGCUGACCCCUGCGAUUUCCCCAAAUGUGGGAAACUCGACUGCAUAAUUUGUGGUAGUGGGGGAAAAAAAAAAAAAAAAAAGCAGGGAAAGUUGCACUGG
rnacentral:snRNA from 1 species